GAUGAACGCUGGCGGCGUGCCUAAUACAUGCAAGUCGAGCGAACAGAUGAGGAGCUUGCUCCUCUGACGUUAGCGGCGGACGGGUGAGUAACACGUGGAUAACCUACCUAUAAGACUGGGAUAACUUCGGGAAACCGGAGCUAAUACCGGAUAAUAUAUUGAACCGCAUGGUUCAAUAGUGAAAGACGGUUUUGCUGUCACUUAUAGAUGGAUCCGCGCCGCAUUAGCUAGUUGGUAAGGUAACGGCUUACCAAGGCAACGAUGCGUAGCCGACCUGAGAGGGUGAUCGGCCACACUGGAACUGAGACACGGUCCAGACUCCUACGGGAGGCAGCAGUAGGGAAUCUUCCGCAAUGGGCGAACGCAUGACGGAGCAACGCCGCGUGAGUGAUGAAGGUCUUCGGAUCGUAAAACUCUGUUAUUAGGGAAGAACAAAUGUGUAAGUAACUAUGCACGUCUUGACGGUACCUAAUCAGAAAGCCACGGCUAACUACGUG
rnacentral:rRNA from 1 species